AUGUAGCGUAAUCAAUAGCCAAUUAAUUGUUGGCCGGUAUGAAUGGCAUCACGAAGGCCCCACUGUCUUAAGAGGACUCUCCAUGAAAUUGAAUUCGUAGUGAAGAUGCUACGUCCAUAUUGUAAGACGAAAAGACCCCAUUGAGCUUUACUAAAGACUUGUAUAGCUCGAAAUAACUUAAAUAAAAAGUUUAGAUAAUGUGGGAUCCGUUUUUGGUUAAUGAAACACCACUCUUUUAUUUUAAGAGAGCUAACCUUGUAGGGAGAAUGCAAGUUGGAUAGUUUGGUUGGGGCGACCACCUUUUAAAAGGUAACGAAGGUGAGCUUAAGGUCCGUAGUUAAUAGCUAGUGGCCUGACUGCAAGGGGGACAUCCCGAGCAGACACUGGUAAUCUCUCAGUGGGUUAUAGUGACCCGUCAUCUUAGAGUGGAAUAGUUGACGAUCAACGAAUAA
rnacentral:rRNA from 1 species